CAGUAGCCACGGUAAUACAGAGGGUGCGAGCGUUAAUCGGAUUUACUGGGCGUAAAGCGUGCGUAGGCGGCUUUUUAAGUCGGAUGUGAAAUCCCUGAGCUUAACUUGGGAAUUGCAUUCGAUACUGGUUAGCUAGAGUGUGGGAGAGGAUGGUAGAAUUCCAGGUGUAGCGGUGAAAUGCGUAGAGAUCUGGAGGAAUACCGAUGGCGAAGGCAGCCAUCUGGCCUAACACUGACGCUGAGGUACGAAAGCAUGGGGAGCAAACAGGAUUAGAUACCCCGGUAGUCCCUGUCUCUUAUAC
rnacentral:rRNA from 1 species